rnacentral:rRNA from 1 species
CACCAGCGCCACGAGUGGCUAUCGCGAUUAUUGGGCCUAAAGCGUCCGUAGUCGGUUCUGUACAUCCUCUGUGAAAUCGCAGCGCUCAACGUUGCGGCAUGCGGGGGACACGGCAGAACUUGAGACCGGGAGGCGUGUAGGGUAUUCCACGGGGACCGGUAAAAUGGUAUAAUCCGUGGAGGACCACCUGUGGCGAAGGCGCUACACGAGAACGGAUCUGACGAUGAGGGACGAAAGCCAGGGGAGCAAACCG